UGUGUAAUAAAAUAAUCAUUCGAUCGUUUUUGUUUGCAGUGUUUCGAUACAACUGUAUACUUGGUUCCAGAGCGUCCAGCAUUACCCUGACGAAGCUAAAGAGUUUUAUAAUGUUAUGAAGGUAUUAGCAGGUGUAGGCGGGACUGUACUCGUUGUUAUCAUAUGUUGUUGCUACUGCUGCUGUUGUCGGAAAUCAAAAACAAACAAAAAUAACCAGCCGACGGAUCAGAGUGUAAACACACCUGCUGACCAAGUCGCAUCCCAAAACUUCAUUCCUCCGCCACCAACAGAACCCACAGCGCCCCCUUUGAGUGAAUUACAAGCGAUGUCACCGCAAGUUUAUCAACGAGGGCCAGAUGGUCUCCCAUCAUAUGAGGAGUGUAUGGGUCUGCAAGAGGAAGUGUGAAAUGAAAGUUCCAGAUGUUACAAUCAUCACCAGUGAUAUGGUGUAAAUAUCAGAAGCAGACAAGGUCGGGAUUAGUACGCCUGGUGUGUCAGGGCCUAGAACUAUCUCAUCUGAUGAGGUUCGUCUCAAAAGUUGUCUGAUCACUCCAGAUCUUAGUCCGUAGUUGUACGAGACGUACAUCAAGUGAGCUGGUGUCUGAAGAUACCAUUCAGAGUGACGUUAUGGAGGAAUCGGAAUGUGCUUAUCAAGAAAGUGGACUUUUAGAUAUUUAUACAACAAUUCUGAAAAUUUCAGCAUGAUUUUCAGUACAAAUCUGUGAUUAGGGUUUUAUCCAUGGAUUUACAUGGAGUUUUUAGUACAAGACAUUGUUUGGUAACAAGGUUUGAAAUAUAAUGAUGUUCAGAUUUUUGCAACAUAGAUCCCCAUAAGCCCAUGUUUGAAUGACACACGCCUAGUUUGCCUCUCCGUCUGUCUUGUACAUACAACUUACAUAUGUACAUAUGUACCAAAGUUUGUCAGCAAUAAUGGGCUUCAAAGGAUCUAAUUGGGCUAAUUAUAGGGUAAAUAUGAUAAUAUGUAAAUAUUCAAUUAAAUUAAACUUACAUAUCAUAGUUAUAGAUGGAGAAAAAAGAUAGAAGUUGAGUGCAUUAAAAUUUUUAGAUUUUAAGGAUAUUUUAUAUUAGCAUACUGCUGUUCAGUAAUGUAUACAUUGUACCAUCAUCAUAGACUUGAAGUCAAAGUUCAGAAUGUUUUCAGUGUUAUAUUUAUUAAUAAUUAAUUUUUCUUUGUUUUCAUGGAAAAUACUCAAAUGUGAUUGGUCGAAAAAUUCUUUUCAUUCUUCUAUGAAAGAAAUUC